GACGAACGCUGGCGGCGUGCUUAACACAUGCAAGUCGAACGGAAAGGCCCUGCUUUUGUGGGGUGCUCGAGUGGCGAACGGGUGAGUAACACGUGAGUAACCUGCCCUUGACUUUGGGAUAACUUCAGGAAACUGGGGCUAAUACCGGAUAGGAGCUCCUGCUGCAUGGUGGGGGUUGGAAAGUUUCGGCGGUUGGGGAUGGACUCGCGGCUUAUCAGCUUGUUGGUGGGGUAGUGGCUUACCAAGGCUUUGACGGGUAGCCGGCCUGAGAGGGUGACCGGCCACAUUGGGACUGCGAUACGGCCCAGACUCCUACGGGAGGCAGCAGUGGGGAAUAUUGCACAAUGGGCGGAAGCCUGAUGCAGCAACGCCGCGUGCGGGAUGACGGCCUUCGGGUUGUAAACCGCUUUCGCCUGUGACGAAGCGUGAGUGACGGUAAUGAGUAAAGAAGCACCGGCUAACUACGUG
rnacentral:rRNA from 1 species